rnacentral:rRNA from 1 species
UAUGUGAUCGUCUCUUGCAUAUCAAUAAGCGGAGGAAAAGAAACUAACAAGGAUUCCCCUAGUAACGGCGAGUGAAGCGGGAAGAGCUCAAAUUUGAAAUCUUAAAGGGUUUCCCUUUACGAAUUGUAGUUUAAAGAAGUGUUUUCUGUUGAGGUUUUGGUAAAAGUUCUUCGGAAUAGGACAUCAUAGAGGGUGAGAAUCCCGUAUUUGACCUUUACUUUCAACUUUGUGAUACACUUUCAAAGAGUCGGAUUGUUUGGGAAUGCAGUCCAAAAUGGGUGGUAAAUUUCAUCUAAAGCUAAAUAUUGGCGAGAGACCGAUAGCGAACAAGUACCGUGAGGGAAAGAUGAAAAGAACUUUGAAAAGAGAGUUAAACAGUACGUGAAAUUGUCAAAAGGGAAGCGUUUGACACCAGUGUUGUUUUUCUGAAAAUCAAUUAAAGAACUGUUUAUGCUAAGCUGUUUAGACUUUAUCAGCUAUCUGUUUAGUUUUGAGCUUUUCUUUAAUGCACUUUUCAGUUAACAAGUCAACAUCAAUUUCUUUUGCUGUAAAAAAGCUUGAGGAAGGUGGCUUGAGAUUCGUCUUAAGUGUUUAUAGCCUCUUGCCUAUGCAGUCGGAGAGAUUGAGGUCUGCAGCGUAGAUCCUUCGGGGCUAAAUGCAUUUGUGCUAAGUUAUAGCAUUUUAUAGACAACUUGUUGACUAUGAUUUGUCUUGUAGCUUACUCGCUUAUGUUAUUUUACCUACGCUUAGGAUGUUGAGCGCAUGUCUCUCUCU